ensembl:lncRNA
AUCUCACUGGAGAUCCCUGCCUCUCUGAGGCCUUCCAAGGGAGAAGAGCCCAAAAGAAGUUUUCCAUUUACUUGGAUUCUCCAAGUAAAGACGGAGGAUUUAUCAGUUCCAUCUGCUACAGCGGAUGGGACACUGAGAAGGCAUAACUCAGCUACUGCUCCUGUGUGCAUCUCUCAGGACCUCAAUACUCCACCUUCCCUCAGCUGAAGUAGAAUUGGUGACCUUAGCAGUGAAGCUCUGGUACUGAUUCAGGCUUGUUGCCUGUCUACCAUGCCCGUGGUGCACACCUAUUAGAAAUACAUCACUUGCUGGCAUCAAAACAGAAAGGGAAAAGUUUACUCUUCUCCCCACCUUAAUCAAGUGCUUUGUGCUUCUGAAUUUGAUCUGAUCUUACAGAUGGUUCUGCAGCUCGUGCUCUCUCAUUGCUGGAUGCACAGCUUUAUUACAGCUGCUCUCCAGGGAUGUGUGGAUAUAUUCCUGAAGUGUGAAGACUGUGGCUCUGAGAAUUCAUGGGCCACGCAGGCUUCUAAUGUCGUAGACAAAGCAUUGGCCAGCCCUGAUCCAACGUGAAGCUCCUGCCAGCAGUUCUCCAGCACUCCAAUGGUCCGUGCAGCAUCUGAGACAGCGCAGUCAGAAAGGAUAUGGACCUCAAAAACCUGGGUCUUCCAACAGCAGGUGAAAAAGCAUCGUCUCUUUCUCUCAUCUCCUGAAGAACCCCUAAGACUCACGCAAUUUUCCAGCCUCUGAGCCAGACGUAAGACUUGUUUGAUUGUUUCUGUGGCAAACUAAGGAAUGAAUGAAUAUAAUCUCUACCCAACAUGCGCAAAUCCCAAAGAUAGUGGAGUUUAAAUGGUCCCAAUGUAAAUGUCUGUAUCUUCAGGGAUGACUGCAGAAGUGACACAGAAAGGCUUUGAGGCAACAACUGUGCACUUGUUUGGUUUUUGGCCAGCGGCUGUCACAGUGAGUCCUUUUUCCACGCUAAAACUUUGUUAUAUUCUACUCUAACAAGUAGUAAAAACAACAGCAGAAGUAGUGGGAAUCUGCAGCUGAAGGGAAACUUAUUCCAGAGCAGGAUUUAGCAGGCUGUGCUUCCCUCCACCCAAUGUGAGCUGGAACAGAAGCACGCUGUAGCUCACCUAAGUGGCCUCUGUCAGUUCCAAUAACUCACUUAACAGUCGUGCUAAGAAAGCUGCACCCUGAAUCUCAGCACUGCCAAAUGUUUGCCCUUUUCCGAAUCUCAGAAGCAAUUCUGUGCUCAUUGCAGGAUGAAUCUCUACUGGAAAACAUUACUCUCACUUAGGAGACCUCAGAGUGAAUGCAGUGAUUUGCUCAGCGCACGCUGCUCUCCAUUUACCUCUUACUGCCCCUUCUCCACCUUACCCCCUCCGUUACUCCACUCUCCCCCUUGGCUGCAGCUCUUUGCAUUGGCUUUAUUUCAUGCAGCACCCUGCAGAGCAGAGCUGUUCUCACUGCCUCUUGUUCUUACAUCCAAGGAAACCCAAAGACGGAUGCUUCCUUACCCUGGAGCCCCCCAGGUGCUAUCUCCGUAGCACAUAACUCUCACCAACACGGCUUGCAUUUGCAGGAUACAACAUUGAAAUUCCACUGACAAUAUCAGGAACACAAAAAACAAGUGCUGGAAUUGCUGGUGCUUUAUAGGCACUUCCUGACAGGAGCUUAUCGCCGUCUGUACAACGUGUUGUUAUCCCCGUAAAUGCUGCAUGUUUGUAUAUUAUGGGUAAUGAAAUGCAGUCCUAACAGCUCGUAAGAUACAGGAGGACUGUCAGAGCUCCUCGCAGUGUCUGGAUAAUUCAAUGUGCAGUGUUAACAAGAAGAAAAAUGUGGGGAAGAAAUGAUUAUUAGUGCAAGAAAAACAAACUGGGUGGAACUCCAUGACCAGAAGGAACUUUAUAUGACUUUCUAGCAUUCAGGCCUCAAUUAUCAGAGACACAACUCAGACCACAAACAAUAUUUCUCUGUGGCAAAGCGAGGCUGCUUUAUUACUGGCCUCAGAAAGAGUGAAUGUUUUGAUAAUGGAGUUAAAGGAAAACCAGAGCUGCACAAUUCAAGAGCAGCCUUUUCUGAUCAAGACGUGAGUGCUGUGCUAGGUGAGAAGUAAAUCAAUAAUACAGCCCCCAGGAAGGCUCUAUUUAUGAAAAAUCCUGUAAAUUGAUGCUUAU